rnacentral:rRNA from 1 species
UGGGGAAUAUUGCACAAUGGGGGGAACCCUGAUGCAGCAACGCCGCGUGGGUGAAGAAGUAUUUCGGUAUGUAAAGCCCUAUCAGCAGGGAAGAAAAUGACGGUACCUUACUAAGAACCUCCGGCCAAAUACGUGCCAGCAGCCGCGGUAAUACGUAUGGAGCAAGCGUUAUCCGGAUUUAAUGGGUGUAAAGGGAGCGCAGGCGGCGCGGCAAGUCAGAUGUGAAAGCCCGGGGCUCAACCCCGGGACUGCAUUUGAAACUGCCGUGCUGGAGUGUCGGAGAGGCAAGUGGAAUUCCUAGUGUAGCGGUGAAAUGCGUAGAUAUUAGGAGGAACACCAGUGGCGAAGGCGGCUUGCUGGACGAUAACUGACGCUGAGGCUCGAAAGCGUGGGGAGCAAACAGG